AUUUGUAGUAAUUAACUACUAAGACCUGAAGUGAAUUACAUGAGACAAAUCCAUCCCCAAUAAUAACCCCUUGGUCAUCUUCCUUCCUGAGCAACACCUGCUCCUUCAUGGUCCUCGGAUAUCUCGACGGAACAACCUUGCUCUUAGUCUUAGGAUCCAAAUAAGAACAGCACCUACCCACCACCCUGUCAUACAGUGAUAUCUCCUCCAGAUUAACCGCGGAUUCCAUCACGCGCCUGAUGAAUCCCACGAAGUGUUCAUCGGGUUGGAAGCCGACGAUGGUGAGCUUGGCCAGAUUACGGUGCUCGAGGUUAGCCACCGAUGGCUGCCAUUCGACGUUCGAUUUGUCGCAGUAGCCGUUCUCCUGCCGUGUCGUCUCGUCCCUCUCCAUCUUGCAGCAGUGAUCCCACACUCUGAUGGAGAGACUCUCCAGCCUCGGUGCGGCUUCCACGAUGAACAUUGUCCAAGCGAUGUCGCAGCCUUCAGGGAGGUCGACGAGAGUGACAUGUCGUAGCUCGCCCAGCACUGGGGCUAGCCUCUUCCAGCCUUCUGGCUCAACCCAAAUCUGCAAAUCAACAGGUUGUUCACAACGAGUACUGAGGGGGCAUUAGCAAGGAAGUGACUUAAUCGGAUACUGUUCUUCCAGCUCAUGCCGGUGUCGACGAGGCUCAAGCUUUGGAGCAAUGGAGUGUAACCAAAAAACAGUGGAUCCCGAUAAGAGAUCCAGCCCUGACAUUUCAUCGUCUGGAGCUUGGGUACAUGGACGAGCUCGAUCGUCUCGAAAUUGCCGUGUGAUAUCUCAAGCUCAACGAGAUGAUUGUGCUCUACCUGCAGCACGCUGCGUCUCACCGAUUUGCAGUUGAACAGCCGAAGAAACCGCAGGUUUUUGCAGGUGAGGAGGAUGCCGGCGAUGUCUGAAUCGCCGAACCAGAGGCGGGUGAGGCCGGCGAAGACGGCCGGGUAGGCGGUGAACAAGGUGUGGAACUGGCCGGCGAAGUAGACGAGGUCGUCCGCAGCGCUUCUCCGUCAGGAUCGAGAACUCGACGGCGGCGCCGGCGGCGAGCUUCCGGGCGGCCAUGGCGCGGGCCACCGUGCCGGCGAUGGAGAUGCAGUCGUAGUACCUGAGGUAGAAGCGGAGGGCGAGGUGGUGGACGGGGAUCUCCGGCCGCCGGAAUUCGAGGACGGCGGCCGUCAGGUCGGCCACGGCGCCGUUCGUCCGGACCACCUCGCGCAGGGUGAGGCGGCGGUGGUUUGGCCGCGAGAAGGCGGCGACGUCGACGGCGAUCCGGGACAGCAUGUCGGGGAGGGUGGCCCUCAUGUUCUUGGAGAGGAUGCAGGUUUUCAUGGCGUCAGAGGUGUCCAGCCUCUCCAAGAUGUUGAGCACGACAUCAUCCGGCAAAUCGUUCAGCCUGUCC
rnacentral:sRNA from 1 species